CACACUUCCUGCUGCCCGUGUUUUGGCUGUAAGGCAGGAUGGGGAACAGACUCAGAGCUUCCACUCCAGAAGUUCACUUUGAGAUGGACCCGCAAGCUGCCCGGGGACCAGGGCGGGAGCAGGGCCAGGGCCACCAUCCGGGAGACCAAGAGGAGGCCUGGACAGGCUGAUGGAACUCAGGAUGGAAGCCUUCAGAUGCUGAAUUUUUUUUUUGUUUCAAUACUGGGGAUGGAGCCCUGGAGCCCCAAGCGUGCAAAGCAAGCACUCGACCACGGAGCUGCAACCCAGCCCUUCUCUUUAUUCGGCGACAGGGUCUUCUAGGUCAAGUCGCUGAGGGCGGCCUCCAUCCUCCGGGCCCAGCCCACUGAGAAGAUGGGAUCACAGGCGGGCGCCUCCUUGCCCAACCUGCUAUCUUCUGAAGGCAAAACGCAGCAGGUUUCGUAACAAGCUGGAUGUGGAGGGGCUUGCGAGUGCUGGCAGAGCUGCACCCCAGGGCCCUGAACAACUGACGGAGCCCGAGAAUCAGCACAAUGGGACGUGAGGGUCGGUGUCGCCGGCUGCUGUCUGAAGCAAAGGUGAUGGUGCUGUCCUCCCUAGACUGCUAUAAAGUUCAACAAGAAAAUAUCACUCACCAGGCCUUGCAUAGAGCUUAACUUUUCUUUCCUGGCUCAGCCUUCAAGACCUCAGCAAACCCCUCUCAGAAGUCCCGGGUCCCCCCCCCCCCCAGGGUGGCUCGGUCCCAGGGUGGCUCGGUUUGUGUCCCCCCUAGGAAGUAGUUUCCGACAGCACUGCUCGGGGCCGUGUGCUUCCGGGGCCCUUUGGGAUUUGUCCCCUCCCAGGCCUCUUCUCUGCCCUGUCACGGCUGAUGGAGAAUGUCCCCCAAGUCCCUGAGCAGGAAGAGGACCGGACCAAGCCGACUGUGAGCCAAGGAGGCCUGGUCAGAAGCGGCCCCUGCUGGGCCCGACCGGAAGGUUUCUCUCCCUCCGCGGCUCCUCUCUUUGCUCUGCUUCCUGUCUUCAAGCCCGCCGGCCAUGGAUUGAAACUUCUGAACUGUGAGUCAGAGGAAGCCCCUCUCCUUUGCAGUCGCAGGUGUCACGGACUGUGCCAGCAAGAGGCACGUGACUGCGACGGAUCCCUAGCACCACACACAUUAGAAAGACAGAAGCCCUGAACGAUGAGGUUUCCAGUCGGCGCGGUGAGGCCCCGGGAGAAAUCCCCGCAGAGGCUCCGGGGCCGCGGGCACGCAGCUGUUACAGAAGUGUCGGGGCUGAGGCCCAGCACACAGUGGAAGUGGGGGAGAUACCGGUUAUGCCCAUCUCAGGCUCUUUGAAUUUGUUUUUUAACAACUGCAUUGUUCAUUUAAAAAAUAAAAAUAAAAAUCGUUCUAAAA